rnacentral:rRNA from 1 species
UACAGAGGUCUCAAGCGUUGUUCGGAUUCAUUGGGCGUAAAGGGUGCGUAGGUGGCGCUGUAAGUCGGGUGUGAAAAUUUCGGAGCUUAACUCCGAAACUGCAUUCGAUACUGCGGUGCUUGAGGACUGGAGAGGGACUGUAGUAUUGAUGUGAGCAGUGAAAUGCGUAGAGAUCAUGAGGAAGACCAGUGGCGAAGGCGGGUCUCUGGACAGUUCCUGACACUGAGGCACGAAGGCCAGGGGAGCAAACGGG